UGGAUGAUGUGGUUUAAUUCGAUGCAACGCGAAAACCUUACCACCUUUGACAUGUACGGAAUCCUUUAGAGAUAGAGGAGUGCUCGAAAGAGAGCCGUAACACAGGUGCUGCAUGGCUGUCGUCAGCUCGUGUCGUGAGAUGUUGGGUUAAGUCCCGCAACGAGCGCAACCCUUGUCAUUAGUUGCUACAUUCAGUUGGGCACUCUAAUGAGACUGCCGGUGACAAACCGGAGGAAGGUGGGGAUGACGUCAAGUCCUCAUGGCCCUUAUAGGUGGGGCUACACACGUCAUACAAUGGAUGGUACAAAGGGUCGCCAACCCGCGAGGGGGAGCCAAUCCCAUAAAGCCAUUCGUAGUCCGGAUCGCAGUCUGCAACUCGACUGCGUGAAGUCGGAAUCGCUAGUAAUCGUGGAUCAGAAUGUCACGGUGAAUACGUUCCCGGGUCUU
rnacentral:rRNA from 1 species